GCCCAGCGUACCCCAGGCAACAGCUCUGGUUUAUAAUUCCAUGGGACUCUUGCUUGCCCCUGGUGAAAGUAUAGUCCUUUGGAGACCAAGAUAACGAACCCUGCAGAGUCUACAACUGUGGAGACAAGAUGCACAAAGCCCCCAGUUGGUCAAUGGUGGUGAUGCCAUGUAAUGCACGUGCUUUCCGUUUGCUUUCUGCCAUGAUUGUAAGUUUCCUGAGGCCUCCCCAGAACCGGAGCAGAUGCCAGCAUCAUGCUUUCUGUACAGCCUGUGGAACCACGAACCAAUUAAACCUCUUUUCUUUAUAAAUUA